AGCUUGCUCUUAUGAAGUUAGCGGCGGACGGGUGAGUAACACGUGGGUAACCUGCCCAUAAGACUGGGAUAACUCCGGGAAACCGGGGCUAAUACCGGAUAACAUUUUGAACCGCAUGGUUCGAAAUUGAAAGGCGGCUUCGGCUGUCACUUAUGGAUGGACCCGCGUCGCAUUAGCUAGUUGGUGAGGUAACGGCUCACCAAGGCAACGAUGCGUAGCCGACCUGAGAGGGUGAUCGGCCACACUGGGACUGAGACACGGCCCAGACUCCUACGGGAGGCAGCAGUAGGGAAUCUUCCGCAAUGGACGAAAGUCUGACGGAGCAACGCCGCGUGAGUGAUGAAGGCUUUCGGGUCGUAAAACUCUGUUGUUAGGGAAGAACAAGUGCUAGUUGAAUAAGCUGGCACCUUGACGGUACCUAACCAGAAAGCCACGGCUAACUACGUGCCAGCAGCCGCGGUAAUACGUAGGUGGCAAGCGUUAUCCGGAAUUAUUGGGCGUAAAGCGCGCGCAGGUGGUUUCUUAAGUCUGAUGUGAAAG
rnacentral:rRNA from 1 species